rnacentral:rRNA from 1 species
GGAAAGACCCCGUGAACCUUUACUAUAGCUUGACACUGAACAUUGAGCCUUGAUGUGUAGGAUAGGUGGGAGGCUUUGAAGUGUGGACGCCAGUCUGCAUGGAGCCGGCCUUGAAAUACCACCCUUUAAUGUUUGAUGUUCUAACGUGGACCCGUAAUCCGGGUUGCGGACAGUGUCUGGUGGGUAGUUUGACUGGGGCGGUCUCCUCCUAAAGAGUAACGGAGGAGCACGAAGGUUGGCUAAUCCUGGUCGGACAUCAGGAGGUUAGUGCAAUGGCAUAAGCCAGCUUGACUGCGAGCGUGACGGCGCGAGCAGGUGCGAAAGCAGGUCAUAGUGAUCCGGUGGUUCUGAAUGGAAGGGCCAUCGCUCAACGGAUAAAAGGUACUCCGGGGAUAACAGGCUGAUACCGCCCAAGAGUUCAUAUCGACGGCGGUGUUUGGCACCUCGAUGUCGGCUCAUCACAUCCUGGGGCUGAAGUAGGUCCCAAGGGUAUGGCUGUUCGCCAUUUAAAGUGGUACGCGAGCUGGGUUUAGAACGUCGUGAGACAGUUCGGUCCCUAUCUGCCGUGGGCGCUGGAGAACUGAGGGGGGCUGCUCCUAGUACGAGAGGACCGGAGUGGACGCAUCACUGGUGUUCGGGUUGUCAUGCCAAUGGCACUGCCCGGUAGCUAAAUGCGGAAGAGAUAAGUGCUGAAAGCAUCUAAGCACGAAACUUGCCCCGA